CCUACGGGAGGCUGCAGUGGGGAAUAUUGCACAAUGGGGGAAACCCUGAUGCAGCGACGCCGCGUGAGUGAAGAAGUAUUUCGGUACGUAAAGCUCUAUCAGCAGGGAAGAAAAUGACGGUACCUGACUAAGAAGCCCCGGCUAACUACGUGCCAGCAGCCGCGGUAAUACGUAGGGGGCAAGCGUUAUCCGGAUUUAAUUGGUGUAAAGGGAGCGUAGACGGCAGCGCAAGUCUGGAGUGAAAUCCCAUGGCUUAACCAUGGAACUGCCUUGGAAACUGUGCAGCUGGAGUGCAGGAGGGGUAAGUGGAAUUCGUAGUGUAGCGGUGAAAUGCGUAGAUAUCAGGAGGAACACCAGUGGCGAAGGC
rnacentral:rRNA from 1 species